rnacentral:SRP_RNA from 1 species
CCGUGCUAGGUGGGGCGCCAGCGGUGCCUUGAUUCCCGAUUCGUCGGGAUGACCCGUAAUCCGCUAUAGCGGGACUGACCGCUCCGCCGAGGGCUUGGUGUCGCAGGACCACCUGUCGCGCGAGCGGCGUUGAAGGCUGGGUCCUCUGCAACGUUGCGCCGUGAACCUGGUCAGGUCCGGAAGGAAGCAGCCAUAAGCGUGCUUGCAGCGUGUGCCGGAGGGUUUCCUGGCUGGAGUCGUUUCGUGCGGCUGACAUUGCGGCGCCGGUUCGAAGCGGAGCUGCACGG